CUCAAACGGCCAACCUACGUUACGUGACUCGCAUAAUCGUGUUAAGGUAUCUGAGACGACAGAUUAAUAAAGUUUUAUUAAGUUUCAGACAGUGACUGAUGGCUGAAAUAUGCGAAUACCUGUGAAAAUAGAGGAAAAAGUAGUUUCUGACACUGAAAAGCGAAUUUGAUAUUUAAGUGAGUCAAAUGAGUUCAAAAAGUGAAUACGACUUUCUGCUCUAAUGUAAACGCCUGCAGUUGUCCAUAUCGACAUUUAAAUCAUACAAAUUACGUACAAUAUAGUCGGACCGCAGGUCUAAAAGAACCGACGACCCAGUUCAAGUAAACCGGUUCAGUAAUUCUAGAACAAAGUGAUUCCCGGAAAAGAAUCGACGUCUCAGGGCAUUUCAAAGUGCGCGCACGCACAGCGAGUGACGCUGGCCGCAAAAGCGCAUGGAUACAUUUGUGAGAGAAAAACUCGUCGAGUGCAGUCUUAUUGAGGCGUCUAACGGUUGGAACAAACAUGGAAUUCCUUAACUGAGCAGAGUCCACAAAACCCCAUCCAAUUGUUGUGGCGAUUUAAAAAUGACAGCAGAUCUCUCAGGCAUUGAUCAUAAUCAAUGGACAGGUCACCGUAGCCACCCGUAUCCAGUACGUAUCCAGACCAGAUGGUGGAUCAGCACCUAGAAAGGACCUCUACAGCCCUGAGAGACAGCGGAGACCAGGACAACUAUAGCCCCAGAUACAGAUCCCCUGUAAAGACCUUGUCUCAGAUAACCACCAGGACAAGACCACAGGAAACAGAUGAUUCUUCUGCACAAUCUGACUUUGCUGCAGCCUGGAAUUGAACUACUGGUUUCCUCUGGUCAGAGGAGAACUGACCCCCAACUGAGCCUGGUUUCUCCCAAGGUUUUUUUCUCCAUUCUGUCACCGAUGGAGUUUUGGUUCCUAGGUUUUCCUUAGUUGGGGACAAUUAAUAUCAAGCGAUAUCAUCAACUUGAUUGAACAGAGGGACGAUACAUCACUGAAUCAAUGAUGAACUGACUUUAACUGAAAACUGAGUGUUUACUGUUGUCCCUUUGCAUUAUUACACACUAUUUUCCUAUUUAAUACUGUAAAGCUGCUAUGAUGCAGUAUUUGAUCAAUAUCACAGGCUUAUUACUCAUAAUAAAUGGAAAAUACAGCUGAAACAAACUUUGCUUUUCCAUUUGAAAUUUUGCAGUCACCGUGUACUCAUGAAAACUGAAAAA